GUCGCCUAAGCAGUAAGCACCAUAGUCCAUAUCGUGUACCUAUAUCAGUUCCAUGUGCAAACUGCAAUGCAGUACAACAUCUAGGUCUGUGCCGUCGACUUAUACUUGGGCUCCCUUGUGAUACUUGGAUCAGCGACGACUACUAUUAGCUUUGAAAAAUGAAUUUCGUCAAACACACCGUGCAAGCAGCCAGGCUGCAUUAGUACGACGGACAGACAAUGCUCACCCCUUUUUAUUUUCGUUGCUGCUGCAGUAGGUGCCUACUCAAAAUUCAUAUUAUUAUUACGCUUACGCCGUAUAUAAGUAAACGCGGUCAUACGCUGUAUUGUAUGAUUUCAUGGUUGGUUCAUAUUUUUUUUAGUGAAUUAAUUGUAUAAUAUAAUAUUCUAUUGUGACGGGAGGACAGAUUUAACGCCUAAAAACAGUGUUUUGAUUUUACUAUAUUUAUAUAUAGAUUCUAUCACGCGUGUUUAUUCAUUUAAAUGUUUUAUUGUAUUUAUUAUUUUAAUAGUUACUAUUACCACUGCGGGAAGCUUUUACAUUAUGAACGAAUCAAAAAUAAACAAAUGUAACAAAUGUCAUUUUUUAGAUUUUCUCCAGUUUUAAUCCUAAGGAAAUAUGAACAAACGCACUGUAGUUUUUAACAAAAUCUUGACAAUAUAUUUGUAAAUCUAAAUCGGCUGUAAACUGUUUAUUCGCUUCAUAUAUGAUUUAAACUCAAAUUUUAAAUAAUUAACAACAUCUCCAAAUACAUCAAUAAUCACUAUACACCGAAAUGAACAUGAUUGCCCAACGCCAAUCAUACAUUUUUCAUUAGAAAUCUCACUAUAUUCUACACUAAUUAAUUCAAUUUUACUAAUUUAAUUCAUAUUAAAUAAAAUAAUUAAUAGUCAUUUUUUGUGUAAUAAACUUAUAAUUUAUAGAUCCCUUCAGUCAAGCUUAGAACUAUCUGACACCAUAUGUCCACAUAGGUAUCAAUCAGCUUCAAAAAAUAUUCCCGGUAACUAACUAUAAAUUGCAUUUGUGUUUAAUACUUUUACAUUAUUGUCCUACAUAAUUACCCACGACUAAAUCAUAUUCUAAUGUCUUUACAAACAUCCAUUAGUGAUAAUUGGUCACUACACCAUACGUAUUACACUAUUAUUACUUAACACGCAGUAUAUUUUUAUUGAGUUCACCAAAUAAUAAUUAAAGAUCUGUAUUAUUUAUACAAAGUUUAUAGACCUACUACAGUAGUUGCAGUUGAUUCAAAAUAAUUCAUA